AGGACAAGAAAGCACAGGUGGAAGAUUUGAGGUCCUGGAUGGGAGAAUCACAAGGAAAAAAACAAAAACAUUUCAGUACCAAGUUCAUGGAAGCCCUGUCAGAACAAGAGACCUUCAAAGAGCUGAGAAACAUGGAAAUUCUAGUACUGGUACAUCAAAGCAUUGGAAAAAUUUAAUCAACGGCACCUUCAAGCUAUUAUGCAUAUCAAGUGGCAAGAUAAAAUCAUGAAUAACAAAGUUCUGCAAAGUGGUUGCACAAACGGUGUUGAAGCAAUCUUAUAAAAGCGUAGUUUUGCUGGACUGGACAUGUCCUCUGCAUGGAGGACACCAAGCUCCCAAAGGAAAAAACGUGUAGUAAACUUUUAAUGUGUGAAAGAUCAAGAGACUGACUGAGGCAGAAGUAAAAAGAUGCCCUGGAAAAAAAGAAAAAAGAACCUCACCCAUUGUGACACAGGUAGCAACACAUGUGGCAAACAAAACAUCUUGGCGAGGCCUAUUAACAUCUGCUGCAGAAAGCUUGGAAGAAAGACAUGCAAGCCAAGAGGAGAAUAGGGUAACUGGCAAGCAGAGAAUGUGAGAGUGGGAGCACGUGCAGAGAAGCUGCAGAAACAGCAAAAAUGAUCCCAACAUACGGAAGCUGAUGUCACACAAAUUCAUGCUCCUUUCGUCUUCAGAACAACAGGCAUCAAGUGAUGAUGACAACUUCACAUUUGGAGCUUCAUGCCAACCCUUGAUCUGUGGUGCAGCAGCUAAUGUUAUUCUUGGAGCUAAACAGAGUCUUGCCUAAACAGAAGUAACCUACACGAGUUGUGUUCACUUCAGCUCCAUUAAAAAAAUGUGGGUGGGGUGAAAUGCAUGGGAAAGAAGCAAUCAU